rnacentral:rRNA from 1 species
UACGUAGGGUGCAAGCGUUAAUCGGAAUUACUGGGCGUAAAGCGUGCGCAGGCGGUUUUGUAAGUCUGACGUGAAAUCCCCGGGCUCAACCUGGGAAUUGCAUUGGAGACUGCAAGGCUAGAAUCUGGCAGAGGGGGGUAGAAUUCCACGUGUAGCAGUGAAAUGUGUAGAGAUGUGGAGGAACACCGAUGGCGAAGGCAGCCCCCUGGGUCAAGAUUGACGCUCAUGCACGAAAGCGUGGGGAGCAAACAGG